ensembl:lncRNA
CCAGUAGUGGUCUCAGCCCCACAGUCCAACCUGAGCCCCCCAGGAGCGAUCUGAGCCCCCCCCCCACCGCUGUCUAUAGACAUAGAGGGACCUGGAGUGGGGUGCAGGUGCCUAUGGGGCCCUAUUGCUCCUAUAGUGUAUAUGGCCCUGUUGGCGUAGCACAUAUGGGGCACGGAUAGGCCUAUAGGUACGUGUGCAGAGCUGAGCAUAUGGGGUUUUUAUUUACAUACAGCCCUAUAUGUCGUCUUAUUUCCAGUGCUGUGGGCAGAGCUGGGGGUGGGGUUUGCAUAUGGGCCAUAUGUGGUCCCUAUAGGGUCCAUAGGCUUCUCAGUGUGGGUAUAUGGGUGCCUAUAGGAUCCAUAUGUGGUCCCUAUAGGGUCCGUAGGCUUCUCAGUGUGGGUAUAUGGGUGCCUAUGGGGUCCAUAUGUGAUCCCUAUAGGGUCCGUAGGCUUCUCAGUGUGGGUAUAUGGGUGCCUAUAGGGUCCAUAUGUGGUCCCUAUAGGGUCCGUAGGCUUCUCAGUGUAGGUAUAUGGGUGCCUAUGGGGUCCAUAUGUGGUUCCUAUGGGGUCCGUAGGCUUCUCAGUGUGGGUAUAUGGGUGCCUAUAGGAUCCAUAUGUGGUCCCUAUGGGGUCCGUAGGCUUCUCAGUGUGGGUAUAUGGGUGCCUAUAGGGUCCAUAUGUGGUCCCUAUGGGGUCCGUAGGCUUCUCAGUGUGGGUAUAUGGGUGCCUAUAGGGUCCAUUUGUGGCCCCCAUAGGGUGCAUACCCAUACAGUGCUGUAGGUCUAGGGGGGGCUCUGGGGGUCCCAUUCCCCUUUUCCCCCAGGGAAGCACGGGGGGGGACGGGGGGGGAUGGACGGAUGGAUUGGGAAACCCCAUUGAGUGUUAACCCCCCCCCCCAGUAAAAAAACAACCCCAAACCCACCAAUUUCUGCCCCCAAAAUGAGCAUCCCCGGGGGGAUCCCCCCCGGCCGCAGGUCCUGGCAGGUCACAGCAGCGAUCUGAGCCCCCCCAGGAGCGAUCUGAGCCCCCCCAGCACGGUCUGAGACCAAAACGAGCAUCCCCGGGGGGGUCCCCCCGGCCGCAGGUCCUGGCAGGUCACAGCAGCGGUCCGUCCCGACCCCUCUCUGCCCCCCCCCCCCCCCAUCCCCCCCCCGUGCCCUUUUCACCCCACACUGCCCGAGGACAGCCGUGACCCUUUCACCCCCCCCGCCCCGCUCCAUCGCUCCGCCGUCAUUAACGCCGAGCAGCGGAUCCGGAGCCGCUUUGACAGAUGAGAACGCGGGGGUGGGAGGGGG